UGGAAGAGGAAUGCGGUAGAGAGCCGUUAGAGGAGUUGGAGAUGGAGGAAGGUGUAGAGAUGCAGGAGGACGAGGAAGAGGGUGAGGCUGACUUCGACUUGGAGGACGUGGAGGAGGAGGAGCACCUGUCUGGAGAGGGCGAGGAAGAGGAGGACGAGAGUGAGCAGGAGGGUGCGGCAGAGGUUACAGGCCUUGGGUUCUGCGUGGAGACGUUUGGGCCCCUGUUCUGGAGUCACGUCGACUCCUUUCUACACAACUUCCGUGACAACAAACAUGUCCUGUUCCGGCCUCCCACUGACCGCCUGAUGGCCAGGGGCCGCUCCCAGCCACCCUCGGACCCUGGAGAAGGUCCGGUGCCUCCUCAGGAGCAGGAAGACCUGGGAGAGGGAGGCAGAGUCUUGCAGGGCCUAGACUCUGCUGCUGAUUUGAAGUUGGGAUAUUUUCCCUGCCAACUUUUGACCCCAAUGUCUGCAUCAUUCUGCCCCAAUGAUGAGGGUGAGGAUCAGUAUGAAAACACUGAUGAAGAGGAAGAGGAUGGAAAUGAAAAACCUGAAGGACUCUAAAUGGAUGUGGUCUCAGCAAAGAGCAGCUCUGGAUAAUACAGUGGGAAGGCAUUGAAAGAAGCAGACAGCAAAGGAAAAGAUGAAUUUGUUCUUCAUGGAUAUUCUUGUUUUCAUUAGCCUGAAAUACUAAUUUUGUUUCAAAGUUUCAACCGCCCAAAAUGAUAUUAACUACUGACAUCUGACUUUACUAUUACCUUUUACAGAUAAUUGAUAGUAUUGUUCACAUUGGAAAUAAAGCUUGUUUGAAAUUAAUUCUCCCUUAGCCC
rnacentral:lncRNA from 1 species